rnacentral:rRNA from 1 species
GACGAACGCUGGCGGCGUGCUUAACACAUGCAAGUCGAACGGUGAAGCUCCAGCUUGCUGGAGUGGAUCAGUGGCGAACGGGUGAGUAACACGUGAGCAACCUGCCCCUGACUCUGGAAUAAGCGCUGGAAACGGCGUCUAAUACUGGAUACGAGAAGGGUCCGCAUGGGCACUUUCUGGAAAGUUUUUCGGUUGGGGAUGGGCUCGCGGCCUAUCAGCUUGUUGGUUAGGUAAUGGCUCACCAAGGCGACGACGGGUAGCCGGCCUGAGAGGGCGACCGGCCACACUGGGACUGAGACACGGCCCAGACUCCUACGGGAGGCAGCAGUGGGGAAUAUUGCACAAUGGGCGAAAGCCUGAUGCAGCGACGCCGCGUGAGGGAUGACGGCCUUCGGGUUGUAAACCUCUUUCAGCAGGGAAGAAGCGAAAGUGACGGUACCUGCAGAAGAAGCACCGGCUAACUACGUG